rnacentral:rRNA from 1 species
CAGGAUGACGCUGCGGCGUGCUUAACACAUGCAGUCGAGCGAAGCAUAGAUGUGGAAGUUUUCGGAUGGAAGCGUGUAUGACUGAGCGGCGGACGGGUGAGUAACGCUGGGUAACCUGCUCAUACAGGGGGAUAACAGUUAGAAAUGACUGCUAAUACCGCAUAAGCGCACAGGACCGCAUGGUCUGGUGUGAAAAACUCCGGUGGUAUGAGAUGGACCCGCGUCUGAUUAGCUGGUUGGUGAGGUAACGGCCCACCAAGGCGACGAUCAGUAGCCGACCUGAGAGGGUGGCCGGCCACAUUGGGACUGAGACACGGCCCAAACUCCUACGGGAGGCAGCAGUGGGGAAUAUUGCACAAUGGGGGAAACCCUGAUGCAGCAACGCCGCGUGAGUGAAGAAGUAUUUCGGUAUGUAAAGCUCUAUCAGCAGGGAAGAGAAUGACGGUACCUGACCAAGAAGCCCCGGCUAACUACGUG